rnacentral:lncRNA from 12 species
CAAGAGCAGCUGGUCAUGCCCCAUCUCUCCUACUGCUCUUUUCUCCUUCCAGACUUUACUACAUUUAUCCUCUUAGCACCUCUGUAAUUAUCUGUCUGUAACAGAUGAGAAACAGAAGAACAUGCAGGUUUUGCAAUUUGAGCUGGGCCACGCAGGAGCUCUUUGGCAGAGGAGGCAGCCUCCCAGGGGGUAAUGGGAAGCAUAGAGCACUCCUGACAUCCUGCAAUCUUCAGCAAGGACCACGGAAUUAGAGUGCAGAAAAAGACAGUGAGAAGACAUUACUUCCUACAUUAGCUGAGGAUAAGGUAUGCCUUUGGAACAUAGCAAAUGUAUCACUGACUUUCUU